UACGAAGGGGGCUAGCGUUGUUCGGAAUUACUGGGCGUAAAGGGCGCGUAGGCGGUGUGUCAAGUCAGGCGUGAAAGCCCCGGGCUCAACCUGGGAACCGCGCUUGAGACUGGCACGCUCGAGUUCGGGAGAGGAUGGUGGAAUUCCCAGUGUAGAGGUGAAAUUCGUAGAUAUUGGGAAGAACACCGAUGGCGAAGGCAGCCAUCUGGACCGACACUGACGCUGAAGGCGCGGAAAGCGUGGGGAGCAAACAGG
rnacentral:rRNA from 1 species